AGAAAGAAAGAAGAAAGAAAAUACAUUUAUUCACAUGGACAUAACGCAUAGACAAAUACAAACAAUAAUACAAACAAAAACGAAUUAAUAAUAACAUAGAACUACAGAAGACAAUACACAAUAGUGGGGGAAAUAUGCGUCACAUCCACGCGAAAAGGCCCUUGCUCAGCAUGUUGCUGUCACUCUGUUGGACAGAGUCUCAGCGCUGGUUUUCAGCAAAAGCCGAAAGCUGACGUGUUAACGUCCGCCGGCAAUUUAAAUAAUAUAUAUUAAAAAUAAAACAAUAAUAUUAUUAAAAUAAAUACAAUAAAUUAUGAAUUAAAAUAAAUAAAUAAGUUAAGUAGUGAUAACAUUGGCAACAUUCAUUUGGCUCAUUCGUUCCUUGUCUAUGCGCUGUUGUCAAAAUCGUUGGUUGAGGUUAUGAUGUAAAGAAUGAACCAAAAUCAUGGCGGCGCUCAACGUCUAAUAUUACGUAAUUGAAUAUUAUGCGUUAUGUAAUGAGUGUUGUUUAUGUUGUGUGUGUUAGGAAAUGCGAGUAUGUGGAGUGUAUUAAGAAUUUAUGUGCUUAAGUGUGUUCUUAAACUUAUUAAGAACGCAAUAUUUUCAAGGGCUACACCCAAGGUCCAUUAUCAAAGCAGGAGGAUAUAAGUGUUUGAUAACAGCAAUAAAGUCAUCAGACAGGGAUGUACCACACAGCACUGCUGGGGAUCCAAAACCAAUGAUUGUGAGUCAAAAAACGCAAGGCCCCUCAAUGGUGGUGGAAGAUCAUUCCAGCAGUGUGUGGCGGCAAACCUGAAACUUCCCCUGAAAGCUGCGGUUUUGUGUGUUGGUGCUCUCAGCGGGUCGACCUUAGAACGGAGUCCGCAUUUGUACUGAGUUUGUCGCCAAGUGAGUUUUUUAUAUAAAUACUGCGGCUUGUGGGUUGUUAUGACACCAAACAUUAAGGUAGCCAAGUGUAGUUUACGCCUGGCCUCCAUUUUUAAUAAUUUAAGCUGAUUAAUAUAUGGAGUAACAUGAUGUCUCCGAGGAAUGUUUACACAGAAACGGGUACAGGCAUUCUGAAUGCGUUGAAUUAGCCUAGCUGUCCUAGCGAGUAGGCAGGGGCCAUAUACGGUAUCGCAAUAAUUGAACUUAGAUAGGAUUAAUGUGUCUACUAGUUGUUUCCUAAGUGGUAAGCUAAGAUAUUUGCGGAUACCGUACAGGACCCUCAGCCUGUAAAAACAGUUUUUAACAAUUUUGUUUAUGUGAGCCUCAAAACGUAGCUCUGGAUCCAGUGUUAAGCCCAAACUACAAGCCUGCUCCACCCUUUCUAUAUUCUGCCCCUUAAUUUUGAUUGCUGGCUUGGCAGAUAGUAUUGCCGCUACCUGCUUCCUUGUACCCAGCACCAUGAACUUCGAUUUUAUUGGGUUCAGAAGUAAGGAGUUUUCCUCAGACCAAGCAACCACACGAUCCAGAUCCUCAUUUACCCUUUGAACUGCAGAUGCCACAUCACACCCUUUGAGGGAUGUGUACAGCUGAAUGUCAUCAGCAUACAUGUGGUAUCUGCAGUUCACAAAGGAAGUUGUAACAUCGGCGCUGUAAAUGAUGUACAGUAAGGGACCCAGAAUCGAUCCCUGAGGGACACCUCUGGACACAGGGAGUGGAGAGGAUGUUACAGUUGCUCCAUCUUCUCUUCGGAUCUGCACUGAUUGGGACCUGUCCGUUAGAUAGCUAUUAAACCAAUCCACUGCGUCAGAGUCGAAACCAUAGUAUGUUAGCUUGGACAACAGAAGAUUGGUAUUAAUAGCAUCAAAGGCGCGCGAGAAAUCCAGUAGCACCAGGAUUGACCCCUCCCCCUGAUCACGCGCUUCCAGGAUAUUGCCCACAACAUCCAUCAUGGCCGUCGCAGUCCCUCUACCUUUGCGGAAACCAGACUGCAGCUCCGGGAGAAUAUGGUUUUCCUCUAGGUAUUCAAUUACCUGUAGGUACACCACACGCUCUAGGAUCUUUGACAGGCAGGGCAGAAUGCUGAUAGGCCUGAGGUCCUUAAAAUUUUCCGGGUCAUUGACUUUAGGAAUAGGGCAAACCGUUGCAUGUCGCCAAAGACUGGGGAAAACGCGCGAUUCAAUUGAUUUGUUAACAAUAUCAGUAAUAACUUGCAGUGUGUUCGGUAAAGUAAGCAUUAGCAUGUCUAGACUGAUACCGUCAACACCCCGAGCAUUGGACCCCAGGUCCCUGACUAUCCUCAUGAUCGUGUCCUGAUUGGUUCCGGUCAGUGAGAAAACGGCUGUACUAUGUCUAUUAGAUCGGAAAGAGGACAUUAGUGCGAGAUUGUCAUUUUUGUUUCCUGGAACGUCUAAAAAAGCAUCAUUAAUACUAUCAGGAUCAUUAAAGUGACUUGGUAGAGACCUCUCCUGAUGGUCUGGUAGAGCAUCGGCCUUCAAGUUACGCCACAGUAGCUUAGGAUUUGGAGUCAUAUCAUUUAUGUGUUUUGUGAAGUACGCGGUUUUUUCCCUUACUAAUGCGGCUUCGGCCUCAUGUUUAAAAUCUAGAUAGUAUUGUUUAUGAUGCGGUUCUUUUGUUAUUUUGCAUCUGCUUCUAGCUUCAUCCCGCAGACUGAACAUUAACCUAAUGUUGUCAGUGAUCCAAGGUGUUGGUCUUUUAGAAAACGUCUUUUUCUUAAUGGGAGCAUGUAGGUCAAAAAGUUGAAUCAUGUAGGAGUUGAAAGUAUCAACCAUAGUAUCCACGUUACUUUUACUUCCUAUAUCAGACCAAGGUAUGAGGUCAAGAUCCUCAUGGAAUUGAUCUGGCAAAAUGUCUGAGAGGGGACGAAACUCAAUGACCCUAGGCUUAGGCUUGGACUUCCUAAAAACUGUUUCGCACGUGAUGAAGGAGUGGUGUCCGAGCUCAGGAAUGUGGCUCACCUCAACGCCACGAGUCGACGCGUCAGUGCAAAUAAUGUCGAUGAGGGUACCACUGUCACCCACGAAAUGUGUGGCAGUUGUAACUAGUUGGGCCAGGUUGAAGCUACUAAAGAAUUCCAUAAGCAACCUAGACUUUAAACUAUUAGUAUCCAAAAGAUUUACAUUCAGGUCUCCCAGUAAAACGAGAUUGUCAUAUGGGCCCAGUGAACUAAUACUGGCAGUAAUGGCGUCAAGGAAUAGCUCCAAGUCCUGCCAAGGCGGGCGGUACGCGGUCCCUAUAAGUAGCCUUUUUUUAUUUAUUGUGAGGCCCAACCAAAGCUGCUCCACAGUAGGGUGUACAGGAUGAGACUUUACUCGCGCGUUCAUGCCAUUUUUUAUAUAAAAAGCGACUCCCCCGCCACGCCCACCUCGGGUUGACACAGGUCUUGGGAUGUGUCUAAAUUUAUAUCCCGCAACACUAGGAGCACGGUCCUGUUCCCCUUUCCGCAGCCAUGUUUCAUUUAUAGCCAUGACGUCCACGGAGUGGUUACUCAUGGCAAUCAGGAAUUCAUCCUGGUUUGUCCCUAGAGAGCCGGCAUUAAAUAGGCCAAACUUAAUAUAUUUACUGGGAGCCAUAAGUGUCAGAAGAUGUAGGCUUUAGGUAUGGAGGUAUGUAGGUGAGGUGUGACAGUUCAGUGUGAGUUUGUAUGUGGUUUAUGUAUAUAGUUUGUAGAUAAUUAGGAUUAGGUGUAGAUAUUACUGGGGGGACUUUGCGCGGGGCCUCUGACCGGGGUUUCAUUCCUGUUGUCCCUGGCGACGUUUUUUUUGCACUCGGGACAUCGCCAUUUGGAAGAAACCUUAGUGUUCGCAGGGAUCCCUCCACACAUUCUACAAUAUAGUAGGUUGCAUUUGCCACACCUCGCGCCAUCUAGCGGAGAAGCAAAACGCGAGCAUCCUCCGCAUUUGAUGCCCGGCAUUGUUGAGGAUUGAGUGUGUUAGCUUCGCUGGAGGUGCCGAAGAAACAGACUAGAUGGCGCUACAGGGGAUUCACCGAUCUAUAGGUUGCUUGUCAACGGGACAGAUGGCUCUGUAUUCAAAGAAAUGUUACAAAUCCUUCUCAGGGUCGGUUUUUGUUUAUGGCAAUGAUGUAACAAAUCUACCACUGACAUCUAACUUAUUGUUUUAAUUUAGGCGGGUAGCCGUAUAAACAAACUGAGAUGCUUGUUUUUGUUUUUGUUUAAGGUCUAUUACAGCCCACAAACGCACUAUUUAACACUCACUACGAUGUAUGCAAUGUAAGUUUUCACUUGGUUCACAAAUUAUACGGUUCCAAAUAA